rnacentral:rRNA from 1 species
UAAAAAUGUAAAAAUUUAAAUUAAAAAAUUAAUAGUUAAGUUCUUUAAAUUUAAAAAAUUUGGCGGUAUUUUAGUCUAUUCAGAGGAACCUGUUCUAUAAUUGAUAAUCCACGAUUAAAAAUACUUAAUUUAAAAGUUUGUAUAUCGUUGUUUAAAUAAUUUUAUAAGAAAGAAAAUUAUUAAAAAAUUUAAUUAAAUUAAUAAUCAAAUCAAGGUGCAGUUUAUAGUUAAGAAGAAAUGGGUUACAAUAAAUUUUAUUUAUACGAAUUAUAUUAUUAAAUUAAUAUCUGAAGGAGGAUUUGAUAGUAAAUAUAUAUAUAUAUAUAUAUUGAUUAUAGCUCUAAAAUAUGU